CAGUUUUCGAAAUUAUUAAAUAUUAGCUUUAUUUUUUCUAUGUCUUUUGCAAGUUCACCCACCUUCCCUUUCUGUCUUGGUAAGACUAUUCUCAGGAAAGUCAAACUGCAUGGGGCAAAAGGGCGUCAGCUCUGGAGCUGUUGAGCCCGAAGUUGCGAUCCCCGAUGUCUCCCGCCAGAGGAACUAUCUUUUCCUUAAAAAGCUUCUGGAAGCCAGCAAGCCCAUGCUUUUCCCGCAGGGUAUUGAACAGAUCCUUCCCAAGAACCUGCACCAGGCCAGGAAACCAAUCAAGACAAGACAAAUUCAGCGCCGGUAGUUUCCCAAGGAGGCGAUCGACGCACGAUACGCUGCUCAGCGGAGGCAGCGUCCGGUGCACACACCAGCAGGUAGAGCUUCUUCACAUCGGACUGAACCCUCAGUAUCUUCUCCACCAGCACUGCAUGUUCAUAUCGGUACAGCCAGUUGAGCCAGUGACGAGGAUGAUCUUGUCCCGGAAGCACCCAGCCACUGCAGUGGCAUCCAUCGCCUGCAGCUACAGAAAAAUAAAAUCACGAAACACCUAUGUACAAAGAGAAGUUUGCAUUGGAGUAGACGAAUUUUGAAGAGUGUUCAACGGUGGUAUUCUGAAGCCGCUGGAUCGAUGUCUGAUACAAAUGGAAGCCAGAGGCGAAGAAGUGCAGGAUCAUCUGUGACGUGGUCUGAAGCUGCAGGAGGGAAGCUGACAGGGUCCUGGGGCUGGUGAAUUCUUUCGGUUUUCAGUUGUUACUGUUGUUCUUUCCGUUUUUACUCGUGUAAGGAUGAGCUUAAAACUCUCAUGUUUCAUCUCUGCAAUGGAACGGGGCAAAUA